rnacentral:lncRNA from 1 species
ACUAACCCGUUGACCCAAAUAUAACCUAUUUAAUAAUUAUAUUAAAUUCAAUGAUUUAUACAUAUUUAUUCGCGUGAGGUAAUCAAGUCAUGUCAAAUUUUAUCAGCUCUACCGAUGGCCGCAGUCGGGGACUUCUUUUGUUGAAAUUAAAUCUUAUCGCACAGUAGCUAGUGACUUUUCUCUCGGGAGACGUAAAUCUUGGAGUUAAUCAUUGGGUAGUGCCAAGUGUGGGCCACCGACUAUAAAUCAUUCAGUAGGUUGAUUGGGUGUCGGGGUUGUGGUUUAAUUUAGAGAUCAAUGCAACUUAUAAAAUCUUUACAAAAUAUUCUAGCAGCUUAAAUUUUAUAGCAAAGCUACCGCAUUAAUUCGAAAUAGAGCUUUAAACAAAUUUAUUGCAAUACAAUUGCUCAGAUUUAGAGCACUGAGAUUCAUUGUUAGCAAUCUAUAAGAACUUUGAAUUAAUGAAUUAGCUUAGUGCAACUCGUGAUCAUAAGUUUAUUAAAAUAUAUAGUUCUAUCUGAUUCAGAAUUUUAAACUUCAUUAAAAUCCGAUAAAAAUAUUAGACCAUAAGUUUAAUAGAAUAAUAUCAUAAUAUUAUUAAAAUUUUCACGGUUAUUACACUAUUAAACUAUAUGAUUUAAUAACUUUUUUAAAUUUAACAAAUUUAAGAUUUUAAAAAUUAUAUAUACGUAUGUGUGCGUGGCCAUGCAGUUAUUUAGCUCCUAUGGUGCUAGUUUAGAAACAAAAUAGAUUUGCCUUUGUCUGUUUUGCCCAUAAUGUUUGGCCCAAUUGGGGCAUCAAACGAUUAGUUUGGGCCAAUACGGCCCAAGACCCUAUCAUAGUCAAAGAUCCUCAAUCAGUUAGUAUUGAAACUACCAUUUAUAUGCAGCAAUACACAAAUUUGAUGACUAAGAAAGAGUAAAUCACACCAUGCUUUCUCUCUCCCAGCGAAGCUGAACUGCUGAAGCUCUCAACCGAUAUUGCAAAAUCGUUUUAAUUUUCUUUUGGAAAUGUUUAAUUAUAUUAUACAUUUUUAUAUUGUAUGCAUAAAGCCUAUAAAAAUAUUCAACUGAAGUCACAUAUAAGCCCAAAAGAAAUUUAUAAUUGAAGCCCAACACAAAGAAGCAAAGAAAAUAAAUUCUCAUAACUAUUUGGUGAGACUAAAACACUCUGCAAAAGUGUCAACCAGGGGUGUUCAUGGAUCAUAUUUUACGGAUUGAAUAUUUAUGCAUAUUCGAUCUACGAUUUUGUGGAUUAUAAAUUUUUAAUCCAAUCCAAUCCACGAAUUGAUGAAAUUCAAUAUAAAUCCAAUCCAUACAUCUACAGAUCGGAUGCGGAUUUGACUCAAUCCAUAUCCAAUCUACCAUUUUACGGAUUAGUUUGCAGACUAAAAUUUUUUAAUUCUUUCCAAUCCACAAACUAACUACAUAAAAAAAUUUAAUAUA